GGUAAUGUAUUAAUAAAACCUUGCAUAUGGACAUUAGCAACAUUCUAUACUUAAGAUACAGAAAAAACUGUAUAAAUACAGGAAAUACUCUUCUUCAAGCCAUUUCUUUUUAAAAAUAAGCUAUAAAUAAAAGUAAAAGUAGUAUUUGAUGUUAUGUUGUACUUUAAUGUUUAUAAGUGUCACUUCCUGCCCUUUUUAUAUUAAUAUUUGUUUUAGUAAGGAGAGUAAUGUUGAAAAAGAUGAUUGAUGAUUGAAAUAAAAGUUAGAUUGAUGAGUGAAUGAAUAGAUUAAUCACCAAGCAACCAAUGAAUCAGUUUGGGAGCUGGAGCUAGAAACAAACAAUCUAAAUGAAGAUCACAAAUCCACAUGCCUAUAUGGACUAGAUAAGUAGUAUACAGAGCAGUUAUAAGAUAAAGCAUCACAGUGGGUAUUCUGCCUCCAAAAUUAGAAAUCUAUAGGGAUUGAGCAGAACUGUGACAAACUGAAGCUGCCUUGCUGCAUUUCAAGGGACCAGCUAAUAUUCAGUCCUAUUCAGUUUUUGCCAUUUAUAAAUGCAAACACUGCUACCACAUAAUUUCAUGUUUUAAGAAAAGUGGAAAUCCAGAUGUAUAAAGUAAAUUCUCCUGAUUGUAAAAUGUUGGUAAUUAAUUCAAUUUAAAAAAUUUUAUUCAUACGUUUCAAACAAAACAUCUAUGGUUUGAAUUUGCAACCUCUAAUCUAGAAGACACUAUGAAAAUAUAGUAGAACUGGACACAUUCUUAUUCCUAUUUUCAUUUUUAACAAUAGUGAGGAAUAUUUACCGAAUGUAUAAUAAAUCAUUUACUAUUU